GAUGAACGCUGGCGGCGUGCUUAACACAUGCAAGUCGAACGGAAAGGCCCAAGCUUGCUUGGGUACUCGAGUGGCGAACGGGUGAGUAACACGUGGGUGAUCUGCCCUGCACUUCGGGAUAAGCCUGGGAAACUGGGUCUAAUACCGGAUAGGACCACGUCUUGGAUGUUGUGGUGGAAAGUUUUUUCGGUGUGGGAUGAGCUCGCGGCCUAUCAGCUUGUUGGUGGGGUAAUGGCCUACCAAGGCGUCGACGGGUAGCCGGCCUGAGAGGGUGUACGGCCACAUUGGGACUGAGAUACGGCCCAGACUCCGACGGGAGGCAGCAGUGGGGAAUAUUGCACAAUGGGCGCAAGCCUGAUGCAGCGACGCCGCGUGGGGGAUGACGGCCUUCGGGUUGUAAACUCCUUUCGCUAGGGACGAAGCGUUUUUGUGACGGUACCUGGAGAAGAAGCACCGGCUAACUACGU
rnacentral:rRNA from 1 species